AGUGGCGAACGGGUGAGUAAAGUAUCGGAACGUGCCCAGUCGUGGGGGAUAACGUAGCGAAAGUUACGCUAAUACCGCAUACGAUCUAUGGAUGAAAGCGGGGGAUCGCAAGACCUCGCGCGAUUGGAGCGGCCGAUAUCAGAUUAGGUAGUUGGUGGGGUAAAGGCUCACCAAGCCGACGAUCUGUAGCUGGUCUGAGAGGACGACCAGCCACACUGGGACUGAGACACGGCCCAGACUCCUACGGGAGGCAGCAGUGGGGAAUUUUGGACAAUGGGCGCAAGCCUGAUCCAGCCAUGCCGCGUGCAGGGUGAAGGCCUUCGGGUUGUAAACUGCUUUUGUACGGAACGAAAAGGUUUGGCCUAAUAAGCUGAGCUCAUGACGGUACCGUAAGAAUAAGCACCGGCUAACUACGUGCCAGCAGCCGCGGUAAUACGUAGGGUGCGAGCGUUAAUCGGAAUUACUGGGCGUAAAGCGUGCGCAGGCGGUUAUGUAAGACAGAUGUGAAAUCCCCGGGCUCAACCUGGGAACUGCAUUAGUGACUGCAUAGCUGGAGUACGGCAGAAGGGGGGAUGGAAUUCCGCGUGUAGCAGUGAAAUGCGUAGAUUAUGCGGAGGAACACCGAAUGGCGAAGGCAAUCCCCUGGGCCUGUACUGACGCUCAUGCACGAAAGCGUGG
rnacentral:rRNA from 1 species